CCACAUACGUCAGUUUAAGCAUUUCCUCGCUCCUCGGGCCUCAUUUAAAUCAUUGGGGAUCAAAUAUGGCGGCGUGAGGCUGUAGCGAGGUGAAGAAAUGGAAUUGAGCCUAUGAGUCAAAGCGUGAACUCUGAGUUGAUCUACCCCGAGAUGCGGAAACUCUCAGUUUUGGGUUUGACAGCAGCUAGCUCGAGUUAACCCAAUCAACUCUGAGUAGAUAUACUCGGAGUUGAACGCAUGAAGCCCCGAUACUCUGAUUCACCAUGGCAACUAGCCCUAAAAAGAGAUCGGCGUAUUUUACUGCAUCGGAGCUGGAGAUUUUAACACAGUCUUACAGUACGUUUGAACACAUUUUCAAAAGAAAAAGUAACACUGUUGCAGCAGUGAAAGAGAGAGUAGCGGCUUGGCAGAAGAUUGCAGACCGAGUCAAUGCGUGUAAUCCUUCAACGCAAAAACGUACGUGGGCGCAGCUUAAAAUGAAGUAUAAGAACAUCAUUCAAUCAGCCAACAGAAAAAAGGCAGAGGGGAGAAAAAUGAGUGGAGAGCCAGCACUAGCACCAAUGCCAACACCGCCUCUAAAAGAAGAGGAAGAGGAGCUGGUCCUAUGCCAGGGUGCUGGAAGGCCAGUGGUGGAUGGAAUACCUGGGGGGAUUUCAUCACAGCCACUCACCAUUCAAGACACCAGUGCCUUUGUAAAAUGCAGGGCGUUAUAAUGAGUUUAUGAGCGAGGAAGGAACAGUUGGCACCAAAAUUAUUUGAGAUUCUAAUGCUGUAAUCUGCCUUGUGGAGCCCAAUGCUAUGACAGAACUUGUAGCUGAUGGGGACGCUAAAGACACUGUGUCAGCUACUAUAGAGUGGGAUCCUUCACAGGAUGAGAACGUUAAAGACACUGAGUCAGCUCCCAUCGAGUGGGAUCCCUCACAGGAUGAGAACGUUAAAGACAAUGACUCAGCUCCCAUCGAGUGGGAUACUUCACAGGAUGAGAGUGUUCAACACACUGUGUCAGCUACUACGGAGUGGGACCCUGAACCUCCUCCUGCAGAGAGCACGGCUAGACACCAGAAAGACGGUCCAUCAACUUCCACAGCAAAGAUUGACACUUUGCCUGUAAAAGCAGUGUACAAAAUGCAUCUUCUCAAGAAAAUGGAAAAAGCUGACAAAGAAAUGAUGUACUUGGACAUGCAAAUGAAAAAAACAGACCUGGAAAUUGAAAUCCUAAAAUACAAAUUAGAGGAAAUGAAGAAGAACACAGAAAAUGCAAAUAUUUGAAAAUCCCAUUUCCAAAAAACAGAGGGCAACGCAUAGAAUUUGUUCCAGUGUACUGUAUAGGUGGGUGACAUUCGUGAUAUGAAGAACGACAUUGUGAGUACAAUUGAUGGACUGUAAAGAAAAACAGAGGCUCAAAUAAGUAUUGAUCUGGAAAUAAUAUGUAUAAUCAAGGUCUGUAACUCCUCUCAUGGUGUAUAUUCAACUCCCCGCGGAGUGACGCAGCCACCUCAAUGAAAGAACAUGUAAUUUGCUAUUUGUCACACAUGUAGUCCAAUAUCCAAUGUGCCUGGUAUGGACUGAACGAAUGAAUGAGAAAGUAAAGUAGUGUCUGCUCUGUAAGAGGGAGGAGACAUAGAGAAACUCAGGGUUUAUUGUAGAAAACCUGCUCCCAACCAGCUUAGUUUCAUAGAAUUAAGUUUGUUUAGUAAGUUACCAUCCGUGUUGGGAGUGCAACGGGUAAUCUUAUUACUAUGUCAAACAACGCAGCUACCGACAGUGAAAUGUGGCGUGUUAUUGUGCACUGAUGUCUUAACAGCUGUUACCUGGCUCGCUUAGACAGCCACAGGACAGGAGCUGCAAAUAAAAAGUGUUGGGUUUUUUUUUUCCUAAUUGUCCUUCUUUGGUGAGGGGGGGAGUGAUGAUGGACACCUAAGUAAUGAUGAUACAGUACGAUUUCAAUUGGGGUUUUUUGCUUACAAACCUCAAUGUGCCACAAACAGCCACACGGAACUAGACGCAAUCAUGGUGAGUCCGGAGCGGUCUGUUGAGUUAAAAGUGGCAUUUUCAAGAUUGGAAGAACAGCCACUACUCGUUUUGGAGAAGUAGCAUUGCAAAAGGCAAGAACAUACAUGUCAAGUGGAAUAUUAUGUCCAGAGCAAAAUGUUUGCUACCACUGUGAGGAACACUACUCUUAUGAAACAUCUCUCAACGGCACACGCCACGACAGAGCUAAUUCCCAAUUUGAAUGGUCAAUGGAAAUCAAAAUCAUGAACCCAUGGAGGUCUGGAAUCACAAUCAUACUCAAAAUAAAAGUGGAAAAAUCUGAUCACAAGCUGAUCCAACUUCUGUGGAAACGUCUCAAGACAAUUCAAAAUGAGAGAG